rnacentral:rRNA from 1 species
GAUGAACGCUGGCGGCGUGCCUAACACAUGCAAGUCGAGCGAUCUUCUUCGGAAGAGAGCGGCGGACGGGUGAGUAACGCGUGGGUAACCUGCCCUGUACACACGGAUAACAUACCGAAAGGUAUGCUAAUACGGGAUAACAUAAGAAAUUCGCAUGUUUUUCUUAUCAAAGCUCUGGCGGUACAGGAUGGACCCGCGUCCGAUUAGCUAGUUGGUGAGGUAACGGCUCGACAAGGCAACGAUCAGUAGCCGACCUGAGAGGGUGAUCGGCCACAUUGGAACUGAGACACGGUCCAAACUCCUACGGGAGGCAGCAGUGGGGAAUAUUGCACAAUGGGCGAGAGCCUGAUGCAGCAACGCCGCGUGAGCGAUGAAGGCCUUCGGCUCGUAAAGCUCUGUCCUCAAGGAAGAUAAUGACGGUACUUGAGGAGGAAGCCCCGGCUAACUACGUGCCAGCCGCCGCCGUAACAC